rnacentral:rRNA from 1 species
GAUGAACGCUAGCUACAGGCUUAACGCAUGCAAGUCGAGGGACCGGCGCACGGGUGAGUAACACGUAUCCAACCUGCCCUUUACUCGGGGAUAGCCUUUCGAAAGAAAGAUUAAUACCCGAUAUAAAGGAUGGGGAUGCGUUCCAUUAGGUUGUUGGUGAGGUAACGGCCCACCAAGCCUUCGAUGGAUAGGGGUUCUGAGAGGAAGGUCCCCCACAUUGGAACUGAGACACGGUCCAAACUCCUACGGGAGGCAGCAGUGAGGAAUAUUGGUCAAUGGGCGGUAGCCUGAACCAGCCAAGUAGCGUGAAGGAUGAAGGCCUAGGGUUGUAAAGUACUUUCAGUCGGGAGGCGUUACCGACAGAAGAAGCACCGGCUAACUCCGUGCCAGCAGCCGCGGUAAUUC